GACGAACGCUGGCGGCGCGCUUAACACAUGCAAGUCGAACGGUAAGGCCCUUCGGGGUACACGAGUGGCGAACGGGUGAGUAACACGUGGGUGAUCUGCCCUGCACUUCGGGAUAAGCCUGGGAAACUGGGUCUAAUACCGGAUAGGACCACUGCCUGCAUGGGUGGGGGGGGAAAGCUUUUGCGGUGUGGGAUGGGCCCGCGGCCUAUCAGCUUGUUGGUGGGGUGAUGGCCUACCAAGGCGACGACGGGUAGCCGGCCUGAGAGGGUGACCGGCCACACUGGGACUGGGAUACGGCCCAGACUCCUACGGGAGGCAGCAGUGGGGAAUAUUGCACAAUGGGCGCAAGCCUGGUGCAGCGGCGCCGCGUGAGGGAUGACGGCCUUCGGGUUGUAAACCUCUUUCAGCACCGACGAAGCGCAAGUGACGGUAGGUGCAGAAGAAGGACCGGCCAACUACGUGCCAGCCGCCGCCGUAA
rnacentral:rRNA from 1 species